rnacentral:rRNA from 1 species
UACAGAGGUCUCAAGCGUUGUUCGGAUUCAUUGGGCGUAAAGGGUGUGUAGGCGGCUCCGUAAGUCGGGGGUGAAAUUUCGGAGCUUAACUCCGAAACUGCAUUCGAUACUGCGGUGCUUGAGGACUGGAGAGGAGACUGGAAUUCAUGGUGUAGCAGUGAAAUGCGUAGAGAUCAUGAGGAAGACCAGUGGCGAAGGCGGGUCUCUGGACAGUUCCUGACACUGAGACACGAAGGCCAGGGGAGCAAACGGG